rnacentral:lncRNA from 1 species
AUGUUCAGCUGGACUAAACUGUUCUAUAGAGGAACAGAGAGAGAGAACAUGUUCAGCUGGACUAAACGGUUCUAUAGAGGAACAGAGAACAUGUUCAGCUGGACUAAACUGUUCUAUAGAGGAACAGAGAGAGAGAACAUGUUCAGCUGGACUAAACUUUCUGUAGAGGAACAGAGAACAUGUUCAGCUGGACUAAACUGUUCUGUAGAGGAACAGAGAGAGAGAACAUGUUCAGCUGGACUAAACUGUUCUAUAGAGGAACAGAGAACAUGUUCAGCUGGACUAAACUGUUCUGUAGAGGAACAGAGAACAUGUUCAGCUGGACUAAACUGUUCUAUAGAGGAACAGAGAGAGAGAAAAUGUUCAGCUGGACUAAACUGUUCUGUAGAGGAACAGAGAACAUGUUCAGCUGGACUAAACGGUUCUAUAGAGGAACAGAGAACAUGUUCAGCUGGACUAAACUGUUCUGUAGAGGAACAGAGAACAUGUUCAGCUGGACUAAACUGUUCUAUAGAGGAACAGAGAGAGAACAUGUUCAGCUGGACUAAACUGUUCUAUAGAGGAACAGAGAACAUGUUCAGCUGGACUAAACUGUUCUGUAGAGGAACAGAGAACAUGUUCAGCUGGACUAAACUGUUCUAUAGAGGAACAGAGAGAGAGAACAUGUUCAGCUGGACUAAACUGUUCUGUAGAGGAACAGAGAACAUGUUCAGCUGGACUAAACUGUUCUGUAGAGGAACAGAGAACAUGUUCAGCUGGACUAACGGUUCUAUAGAGGAACAGAGAACAUGUUCAGCUGGACUAUACUGUUCUAUAGAGGAACAGAGAACAUGUUCAGCUGGACUAAACUGUUCUAUAGAGGAACAGAGAGAGAGAACAUGUUCAGCUGGACUAAACUGUUCUAUAGAGGAACAGAGAACAUGUUCAGCUGGACUAAACUGUUCUGUAGAGGAACAGAGAACAUGUUCAGCUGGACUAAACUGUUCUAUAGAGGAACAGAGAGAGAGAACAUGUUCAGCUGGACUAAACUGUUCUGUAGAGGAACAGAGAACAUGUUCAGCUGGACUAAACUGUUCUGUAGAGGAACAGAGAACAUGUUCUGCUGGACUAAACGGUUCUAUAGAGGAACAGAGAACAUGUUCAGCUGGACUAUACUGUUCUAUAGAGGAACAGAGAACAUGUUCAGCUGGACUAAACUGUUCUAUAGAGGAACAGAGAGAGAGAACAUGUUCAGCUGGACUAAACUGUUCUAUAGAGGAACAGAGAACAUGUUCAGCUGGACUAAACUGUUCUGUAGAGGUACAGAGAACAUGUUCAGCUGGACUAAACUGUUCUAUAGAGGAACAGAGAGAGAGAACAUGUUCAGCUGGACUAAACUGUUCUGUAGAGGAACAGAGAACAUGUUCAGCUGGACAAAACUGUUCUGUAGAGGAACAGAGAACAUGUUCUGCUGGACUAAACGGUUCUGUAGAGGAACAGAGAACAUGUUCAGCUGGACUAAACUGUUUUAUAAGAGGGAACAGAGAACAUGUUCAGCUUGGACUAAACGGUUCUAUAGAGGAACAGAGAACAUGUUCUGCUGGACUAAACUGUUCUGUAAAGGAACAGAGAACAUGUUCAGCUGGACUAAACGGUUCUGUAGAGGAACAGAGAACAUGUUCAGCUGGACUAAACUGUUUUAUAGAGGAACAGAGAACAUGUUCAGCUGGACUAAACGGUUUCUAUAGAGGAACAGAGAACAUGUUCAGCUGGACUAAACUGUUCUAUAGAGGAACAGAGAGAGAACAUGUUCAGCUGGACUAA